ensembl:lncRNA
GAAGAAGCCAAAUAAGCGUGAGGACGUGGAAGUAUCUUUCAGGCUGUAUAGAGAUCCUAGGAGCCUUCCAUCCCACUGCCGACCUCUCACCCAGACCCAACCUCUCACCAAGACCCACUCACAACCUUCUCUCCUACUCCAGAAGCCUCUCCCAAACCUCCAACCUUCCAUCCCACUGCCAACCUCUCACCCAGACCCAACCUUCUCUCCUACUCCAGAAGCCUCUCCCAAACCUCCAGCCUUCCCUCCCAAACCCCCACCAAGCCUCCUCCAUCUGCACAAAGAGCCACAUCAGCUGGGAGAGUGACACACACCUCACCACCUUCUGUUCAGCUGGUGGUAAAGCAUCGGGAGCCAAUCCAUCCAUCUUAUGGAGAGGAGAAUUCUGGAGUGCUGGACUCAAUUCCACCACCAUCUGCACCAGUGAGCCCUCAGGAGUCAGCAGACAGCCCAGACUGCGUCACUGCUGCUGAUUUUAGAAAUACCUUCAGACCAGUAUCCUAUUCCCCUGCAUCCAUAAUCCUCUGUGAGACUGGAGACCUGGAGGAUGGCCAGGGAGUGUUCUCUGGACCCAGGAGGAGGACACAGCUCCCGUCAGGGUCCC